AUAUGGAAGUGGAGAGUAGCAUCGAUUAUUUUGUGCCAUGAUUCAAUAAUAAAUUAAAAUAAAUUAAAAGAGCUAUGGUUUUAGAAUAAAUGGAUCAAGCAAGGAAUACGUACAUUAGCCGUGUUGGAAGACGAAGCAGAACCAGACUCUUUUUCUUUGUUCCAAAAAUCUGGAUAUAAUUUUGCAAUUUGUCCGGCUGGUGUACAAAGCCGACCCGAGAAGUCGACGCGUUUUGCAGAUUGACUACGUUCCGUGCUGACCAAUUCUAGAUAACUAAUACCGUGGCCCGCUGCUGCUUAAAUUACGCUUGCUUGUUUUAAGCAAACUGCUACUGCUACUACUGCUGUCCAUAGAAUGAGGU